UCAAUCAUAGAUAUUAGAGUACAUAGGGAUUGGAAACGGGCCGUAGCAACAGGAAAAUGCUAGUUGAUAGUACCGUAAAUAAUUUCUCUAAAUACUCGUAUGUAAAAUUAAAAUGACUGAAAGUUGAAAAAGGUAACCCUUCAAUAAUGUUUAGACAUUCUUCCUGUUUGCCCAAGCUGUCAGCUGUAGCAAUGUAUCUGUUUGCAGUUUAAAUUCAGUGUUUUAUGAAUUAGCAAUCAUUAUUGAUCACAUUUACUAUAUUUAGUUCUAUUUUUUGUUUUGUACAACCUAUUGAAUAGAAAUGGUGUUGGCGACCUCCGGUGUGUUCUAAGCAAUACAAUGGUAUGAUAGCUAAUGUCACAGACCCUUUGGUUUUUAUGUUAAGGAAAGAUGCAACCGUAUUUCCAAACGAAACAUAGUGGGCGACCUCGACAUUAUGAAUCUCUAUUGAGUGGUUGAAUAAGUUAUUGUUUUCUGUCUAACACUACUGAGAUAAGGGUACAAAACAAAAUGUCAUUCUAAGCAUUCUCAUUCCAGAGCAAAUAUUCAGUGUAAAUGAUGAUGCUAGCAACAUAAAAAUUAGUCUGGGGAUAGAUGCCGGUCUCCUCUGCUUCCUUUGAUAUAAAUAAUGACGUAUAGUGACACCACUGCUGGAAUGACAGGUCUCAAAAAGACAGCUCUUGCUCAAAGACAGCCUCCGUUGCUAGGCGUUGCUACACGCCCAAGAGUUGGAACAUGGACCAGUCCUGAUACAGGCCUGAAUCAUUACUGAUGAUCGAGCCUGGACCGAGGAUUUGGGGCAAUGUCCUGAUCCGAUAUUGACGAAUCAGCCACGAUUUAUGCUGGUGCCAGACCUGAUCCGACAACGAUAACGAUAUUCAUUAAGCCUCAUUAUGACGUAAUUCCUGUUAUGCUUAAUUAAUACUUAAUUAUUAUUCAUUAUUAAUUUAAAAUGAUUUGGAAUUAUUAUUAAAACCAAAAAAAAGAUUAUAAUUGUUUUCUUCAUCAUAGUCUACCAAUGUUCCACAAGCAAGACACUUCAUGUUUUGUAACUUAAGACAC
rnacentral:lncRNA from 1 species